GUAAGAAAAAGUGGCAAGAACUCGAGAGUCGAGAUUUAUUGUGGCCACUCACACCGAGCAAGGAGAUGCUUUGUUAAUUGUUAGACUCGUAGUUUCAGCAAAUAUUCGUCUGCUAGACAGAGAAAGCGUUAAGCGUGUCACGAAAUUCUUUACUGUGUCGUGUUCUUUAUUCUCAUUCUUUACUAUUCAUGAAAAAAGGCAACCGCAAUUGCUACCUGUAAGUCGAAAAAAGCAUCACACAUCCCUACCUCCUACUACCACUGCUCUUAAUUACAACACGGAGUUUUCAUCUUGAGAUUGAUUGGCAGUUUCUUCAGGAAGACGAGAAGAAGGAGAUGAUGAUUUUGCCAAGGAGAAUAUUGAAUCUAGAAUCUAGAUGGCUAUAUCCUAUAUCCUUAAGAUGAAUCUCCAAUUCAACACACUACGGCCAAAUGGUUAUGGGACCAAGAAUUUAUUCGCAAUUUUAGUGUCGCCGAUUCGCCAAUUAUUUUUUCUGCCAUUUGCAUCGCAUCGGACUCGAACAUUACCGCAAUGAACCGAAACUAGAACUCUAUUAUGUUGCCAGAAGGGACAAAAGACCAGGAGAUCGUGUCUUUGUGAGAAUGGUCCUAGUUCCCCCCAGUCAGUCAAGUUGAACAAAUUGCGUCGGAGCCGGGAACUUAUUGUGGUUAUUCCAUGGAAAUUGGUAGAUUUGGAAGUCGACGAGUAGUUUGGUUCGUGGAUCGAAUCAUUCGUUCGACUGAAAUGUAUCUCUGUUCUCUCGGAUAACCCGGCUCAACAACUCACAUAUCUCGUCCAGGAUCAACUCGCUUAUUCACUCAUUUGGGGAUCCAGCGAAGAAAACCUUUAUUCCGCAGCGAAAUUUUCCAAUGUCGUACCAUACGAGGUCGUCAGAAUUCAGCAUAGGAAAAAUCCACACUGCUUCGGUCAAUUUGCUGGACAGUAUUCCGGUAAUUGGUAAAAGAUUCGUUAGGGUGCGCAUAAAGUCGCAUUUCCGACUUAUGCGUCAGACAGUUGGCGUAUUGGCCCAGCCAAAACCAUCUUAGCCAACGGCAUGGGCAAUAGUAACAAUUGUUCCAUGAUCGCUGGAAAUCUGAUUGACGGCGAUGGGUUCUUCGGUUCUUCCACAUCUAGUUUUAGUGAUGGUUUUGCCAUCUCUCAUUUAUCGGUCUAUUACAGCAGUAACAACGCUCGAGAAACAACGGCGUACAAGAUUGUCCCACGUUUACCUUGGUCUGUGUAUCUCAGGGGUGUUUUGUUUUCUUUUAAAUGUUACAGGACAUUAGUGUACGUAAGAACAGACAGUCAUGGGAAAUGGUAGGAGAUAACAUGGAGGGGGACAUGAGAAGAGAAUAGGAGUCAAACCCAGAACCUUCAAAACUAGGUGCAAUAGAAAAAACAAGAACGAAUUAUAAGGCAAUCUUCCAAAAAUCGCUCACGCUGUGGGUUCAUUUCGGCACCUCGGAUGAAAAGGAACGAAAACUUUAGAGCGGAAUCACCCAAAUGUUUCUCAAAAGAUUGCUGACCCUCUGGACUCUGAUAAUCGCCAUCGAAUCAGAUUCUGCUAAUUUUGCCUUGUAACGCUUUCUUGUUUGUACUUUUACAUUUUGAUUUAUUGUAACAUUUCCGGAUUCGAAUUGAAUUCAAAAGCAAGGUUUUUCUCAUGUUUAUUGUUAAUUAUUUCACAUCCGGUUCAAAGAUUCAAUCACUCUGAUUCAAUUAUUAAUUCUGAAUAUUCUGAUAAUUCUGUUAAAUUUUUGCAUGUAAAUUUAGGAUUUUGUGUGGCAACCCCGAAUGUUUUGUUUUUUGUCUUGUAAGCAUACUUCUAAGCUUAAUUGUUUUGUUCAGUCAGCAGGGCAGUUUCAGUUAAUACAACUCGUGAAAAGU
rnacentral:lncRNA from 1 species